rnacentral:rRNA from 1 species
AUUGAACGCUGGCGGCAGGCCUAACACAUGCAAGUCGAGCGAGCGGCGGACGGGUGAGUAAUGUCUGGGAAACUGCCUGAUGGAGGGGGAUAACUACUGGAAACGGUAGCUAAUACCGCAUACCAUCGGAUGUGCCCAGAUGGGAUUAGCUAGUAGGUGGGGUAACGGCUCACCUAGGCGACGAGCCCUAGCUGGUCUGGGAGGAUGUGCAGCCACGCUGGAACUGAGACACUGUCCAGACUCCUACGGGAGGCAGAAGUGGGGAAUAUUGCACAAUGGGCGCAAGCCUGAUGCAGCCAUGCCGCGUGUAUGAAGAAGGCCGUCGGGUUGUAAAGUACUUUCAGCGGGGAGGCGUUACCCGCAGAAGAAGCACCGGCUAACUCCGUGCCAGCAGCCGCGGUAAUUC